CUGGAAAAGUCCUCCACUAAUGCACAGGAUCCCAUCAGAACUCUGAAGUUAAGCGUGCUUGGGCGAGAGUAGUACUAGGAUGGGGGACCCCCUGGGAAGUCCUCCACAAAUUUU
rnacentral:rRNA from 1 species